UACAGAGGGUGCAAGCGUUGUUCGGAAUUAUUGGGCGUAAAGGGUGCGUAGGCGGUGCUGUAAGUCUGUCGUGAAAUCUCCCGGCUCAACUGGGAGGGUGCGCCGAAUACUGAGCGACUAGAGUGCGGGAGAGGAAAGUGGAAUUCCUGGUGUAGCGGUGAAAUGCGUAGAUAUCAGGAGGAACACCGGUGGUGUAGACGGCUUUCUGGACCGUAACUGACGCUGAGACACGAAAGCGUGGGUAGCAAACAGG
rnacentral:rRNA from 1 species